rnacentral:rRNA from 1 species
CAGUAGCCGCGGGAAUACGGAGGGUGCAAGCGUUAAUCGGAAUUACUGGGCGUAAAGCGUGCGCAGGCGGUUAUAUAAGUCAGAUGUGAAAUCCCCGGGCUCAACCUGGGAACUGCAUCUGAGACUGUAUGGCUAGAGUGUGUCAGAGGGGGGUAGAAUUCCACGUGUAGCGGUGAAAUGCGUAGAUAUGUGGAGGAAUACCGAUGGCGAAGGCAGCCACCUGGGAUAACACUGACGCUCAUGCACGAAAGCGUGGGGAGCAAACAGGAUUAGAUACCCGCGUAGUCCCUGUCUCUUAUAA